rnacentral:rRNA from 1 species
GACAGAGGCCACGAACGUUGUUCGGAAUCACUGGGCAUAAAGCGCACGUAGGCGGCUGGGUCCGUCCGAUGUGAAAGCCCCCGGCUCAACCGGGGAAUUGCAUCGGAUACAGCCCGGCUUGAGGACGGUUGGGGUGAGUGGAACUCCUGGUGGAGCGGUGAAAUGCGUAGAUAUCAGGAGGAACACCGGUGGCGAAAGCGGCUCACUGGACCGUAACUGACGCUGAGGUGCGAAAGCUAGGGGAGCAAACGGGAUUAGAUACCCCGGUAGUCCUAGCUGUAAACGAUGGGCACUGGGUAGGGGGGAAGCCUAUGCUCUUCCCUGCCGAAGCAAAUGUGUUAAGUGCCCCGCCUGGGGAGUACGCUCGCAAGGGUAAA